UACUAGCACCCCGAGUGGUCGGGACGAUUAUUGGGCCUAAAGCAUCCGUAGCCGGUUCUGCAAGUCCCCCGUUAAAUCCAGCUGCUCAACAGAUGGGCCGCGGAGGAUACUACAGAGCUAGGAGGCAGGAGAGGCAAGCGGUACUCAGUGGGUAGGGGUAAAAAUCCGUUGAUCCAUUGAAGACCACCAGUGGCGAAGGCGGCUUGCCAGAAUGCGCUCGACGGUGAGGGAUGAAAGCUGGGGGGAGCAAACCGG
rnacentral:rRNA from 1 species